GUGCCAGCAGCCGCGGUAAUACAGAGGUGGCGAGCGUUGUUCGGAUUUACUGGGCGUAAAGGGCGCGUAGGCGGCCUUGUGUGUCGCGUGUGAAAUCCCCGGGCUCAACCCGGGAAGUGCGCGCGAAACUGCGGGGCUCGAGCGGAGGAGGGGAGAGCGGAAUUCAUGGUGUAGCGGUGAAAUGCGUUGAUAUCAUGAGGAACACCGGUGGCGAAGGCGGCUCUCUGGAAUCCUGCUGACGCUGAGGCGCGAAAGCCGGGGGAGCAAACAGGAUUAGAUACCCUGGUAGUCCCGGCCCUAAACGGUGCACACUGGGCGUGGGGGGUAUUCACCCCCCCCGUGCCGAAGCUAACGUGUUAAGUGUGCCGCCUGGGGAGUACGGCCGCAAGGCUAAAACUCAAAGAAAUUGACGGGGGCCCGCACAAGCGGAGGAGCAUGUGGCUUAAUUCGAUGCAACGCGAAGAACCUUACCCGGGUUUGACAUGUGACUGCACGUCCCGCGAAAGCGGGAUUCCUUCGAGGGUGUCACACAGGUGCUGCAUGGCUGUCGUCAGCUCGUGCCGUGAGGUGUUUGGUUAAGUCCAGCAACGAACGCAACCCCUGUGCCCAGUUGCCAGCGCGUAAUGGCGGGGACUCUGGUCAGACUGCCUGUUCACACAGGAGGAAGGUGGGGACGACGUCAAGUCAGUAUGGCCCUUACAUCCGGGGCUGCACACGUGCUACAAUGGCCGGCACAAAGGGAAGCGAGGCCGCGAGGCGGAGCCAACCCCCAAAACCGGCCCCAGUUCAGAUCGGGGUCUGCAACCCGACCCCGUGAAGUCGGAUUUGCUAGUAACGGCGCAUCAGCUACGGCGCCGUGAAUACGUUCCCGGGCCUUGUACACACCGCCCGUCACAUCAUGAAAGCCGUCUGCACCCGAAGUCGGCGCACCAACCCGCGAGGGGGGGAGCCGCCGAAGGUGUGGGUGGUGAUUGGGAUGAAGUCGUAACAAGGUAGCCGUUGGGGAACCAGCGGCUG
rnacentral:rRNA from 1 species